UACGGGGGAGCAAGCGUUGUUCGGAUUUACUGGGCGUAAAGGGCGCGUAGGCGGCCACUGCAAGUCAAUUGUGAAAUCUCCGGGCUUAACUCGGAAAGGUCAACUGAUACUGCAGGGCUAGAGUGCGGAAGGGGCAACUGGAAUUCUCGGUGUAGCGGUGAAAUGCGUAGAUAUCGAGAGGAACACCUGCGGCGAAGGCGGGUUGCUGGGCCGACACUGACGCUGAAGUGCGAAAGCUAGGGGAGCGAACGGG
rnacentral:rRNA from 1 species